UGGGGAAUAUUGCACAAUGGGCGCAAGCCUGAUGCAGCCAUGCCGCGUGUAUGAAGAAGGCCUUCGGGUUGUAAAGUACUUUCAGCGGGGAGGAAGGCGAUAAGGUUAAUAACCUUGUCGAUUGACGUUACCCGCAGAAGAAGCACCGGCUAACUCCGUGCCAGCAGCCGCGGUAAUACGGAGGGUGCAAGCGUUAAUCGGAAUUACUGGGCGUAAAGCGCACGCAGGCGGUCUGUCAAGUCGGAUGUGAAAUCCCCGGGCUCAACCUGGGAACUGCAUUCGAAACUGGCAGGCUAGAGUCUUGUAGAGGGGGGUAGAAUUCCAGGUGUAGCGGUGAAAUGCGUAGAGAUCUGGAGGAAUACCGGUGGCGAAGACGGCCCCCUGGACAAAGACUGACGCUCAGGUGCGAAAGCGUGGGGAGCAAACA
rnacentral:rRNA from 1 species